AGUGUCAAUUAGAAUAAAGUUUUAUUUUUUAGUUUAACAUUUUAAUUUUUUUUCCCUAUCCAUAUACAAACGACAUCCUUCGAGACUGCCGUCUAGUCUUCUGUCUUUGGUGUCUGCUGCUUCUUUUACUCGUACACUUUGAUAAACCCACCACAGGACAUUAAAAACUUUCUUUCUCCCUGUUCUUCCAAAGCUUCUGAGGUUCAACAAUGGCGAAUGAGAAUGAAGAAAAUUGGGACGCUUAGAUGAGGAAAUGUUUGAUGCCAUUGGAAGGCAAUUCUGAAAUCUCCUCUAUAUUUCUUCCCACUUUGAACACCCAAAUGAAGUAGUGAGAGAAAUCAGAUAUAAUACAGACUACAGAAGCAGAAAGUUCUGCGAAACACGGAUAAUUUUUUUUAAUUAUGAAUGAGUGACACUAUUGUGCUGAGUAUGAGAGUGUUCCAGAUCAAGCUCUUGAACUCCUUCAAAGUGUAUAUCGUGGAAAGUUGUGAAGCACCAAAAGAACUAUUUGAUGUGGAAGGGCUGAAUGCUGAUGAAGGGCAUGUUGUGAUGGCAUUACAGUUCAAUGAAUUGCAUUUGAUAAAACUUCCGAGGUUGAAGCAUGUAUGGAUUGAUAAUCCUCAGGGAGUUAUGGGAUUUAAAAACCUGAUAUUAUUGAAAAUUCAUGAUUGUAAUUCCUUGACCAAUGUAGUUUCUCUGUCAAUGUCUUUGGGCCUUGUGCAACUUCCAUCUAUGAACAGGUGUAGUUUGAUUGAAGAAAUCGUCAUAAAAGAAGAAGAGCAUGCUCUGUUGGAUAAAAUCAAUACUAUAUCAAUCUAGAGCCUUUGCCCAGCUGGAUAAGUUUUUAUUCAGGAAGUGAUGCUAUAGCAUGCCCAUCCUUGGAAAAAAUUGAUGUAGUUGACUGUCCAAAUAUAAUUUUGCUUCCAAACUUUCAGAACAAGAUUCAAUCACAAUCUUCAAUUAAACAAAGAGAGUUUUCAAUGAA